rnacentral:rRNA from 1 species
UCUGGCACCUUCGGUGUCCGAGUUGUAAUUUGAAGAAGGUAACUUUGGAGUUGGCUCUUGUCUAUGUUCCUUGGAACAGGACGUCACAGAGGGUGAGAAUCCCGUGCGAUGAGAUGUCCAACUCUAUGUAAAGUGCUUUCGAAGAGUCGAGUUGUUUGGGAAUGCAGCUCUAAGUGGGUGGUAAAUUCCAUCUAAAGCUAAAUAUUGGCGAGAGACCGAUAGCGAACAAGUACAGUGAUGGAAAGAUGAAAAGAACUUUGAAAAGAGAGUGAAAAAGUACGUGAAAUUGUUGAAAGGGAAGGGUUUGAGAUCAGACUUGGUAUUUUGUAUGUCUUGCUUUCGGGUGGGGCCUCUGCAGUUUACUGGGCCAGCAUCGGUUUGGACGGUAGGAUAAUGACAUUGGAAUGUGGCACUACUUCGGUGGUGUGUUAUAGACUUUGUUGAUACUGCCUGUCUAGACCGAGGACUGCGUCUUUGACUAGGAUGCUGGCAUAAUGAUCCUAAACCGC